UACGUAGGGCGCAAGCGUUGUCCGGAAUUAUUGGGCGUAAAGAGCUCGUAGGCGGCUUGUCACGUCGGGUGUGAAAGCCCGGGGCUUAACCCCGGGUCUGCAUUCGAUACGGGCUAGCUAGAGUGUGGUAGGGGAGAUCGGAAUUCCUGGUGUAGCGGUGAAAUGCGCAGAUAUCAGGAGGAACACCGGUGGCGAAGGCGGAUCUCUGGGCCAUAACUGACGCUGAGAAGCGAAAGCAUGGGGAGCGAACGGG
rnacentral:rRNA from 1 species